AGAGUUUGAUCCUGGCUCAGAUUGAACGCCGGCGGUAUGCUUAACACAUGCAAGUCGAACGGAAACGAUGGUAGCUUGCUACCAGGCGUCGAGUGGCGGACGGGUGAGUAACGCGUAGGAAUCUGCCUGAUAGUGGGGGAUAGCCCAGAGAAAUCUGGAUUAAUACCGCAUAAUCUCUAUGGAGUAAAGGAGCCCUCUUCUUGAAAGGUUUCGCUAUCAGAUGAGCCUGCGUAAGAUUAGCUUGUUGGUGAGGUAAAAGCUCACCAAGGCGACGAUCUUUGGCUGGUCUGAGAGGAUGAUCAGCCACACUGGAACUGAGACACGGUCCAGACUCCUACGGGAGGCAGCAGUGGGGAAUAUUGGACAAUGGGCGCAAGCCUGAUCCAGCAAUACCGCGUGUGUGAAGAAGCCUGAGGGUUGUAAAGCACUUUCAAUUGUGAAGAAAAGCUAAUGG
rnacentral:rRNA from 1 species